rnacentral:rRNA from 1 species
UUACACCCUUAAGGCCUUCAUCCUGCACGCGGCAUUGCUGGAUCAGGCUUUCGCCCAUUGUCCAAAAUUCCCCA